rnacentral:misc_RNA from 1 species
AACAUACCUAAACGUUGCUUCGGCGGGAAUAGACGGCCCCGUAAAACGGGCCGCCCCCGCCAGAGGACCCCUAACUCUGUUUCUAUAAUGUUUCUUCUGAGUAAAACAAGCAAAUAAAUUAAAACUUUCAACAACGGAUCUCUUGGCUCUGGCAUCGAUGAAGAACGCAGCGAAAUGCGAUAAGUAAUGUGAAUUGCAGAAUUCAGUGAAUCAUCGAAUCUUUGAACGCACAUUGCGCCCGCCAGUAUUCUGGCGGGCAUGCCUGUUCGAGCGUCAUUACAACCCUCAGGCCCCCGGGCCUGGCGUUGGGGAUCGGCGGAGCCCCCCGCGGGCACACGCCGUCCCCCAAAUACAGUGGCGGUCCCGCCGCAGCUUCCAUCGCGUAGUAGCUAACACCUCGCGACUGGAGAGCGGCGCGGCCACGCCGUAAAACACCCAACUCUUCUGAA